UUAAAUAUUAUAUAUUACUCAGACAUCACUAAACACAGAGUUUGGGUCCUCUGGCAGGCGCUGUCAGCCGAAGCCGACGCCCGGAGGCGGCUUGCCAAAGCAACAAAGGUAAGGUAUACACGGUUGUGGGUAUUGAACCCAUUUUAUGAAAAAACGGGACUUCAUAGUCUUUUUCAAUAAUGAUCCUUCCGCAGGUUCACCUACGGAAA
rnacentral:misc_RNA from 1 species